UACGGAGGGGGCUAGCGUUGUUCGGAAUUACUGGGCGUAAAGCGCACGUAGGCGGCUUUGUAAGUUAGAGGUGAAAGCCCGGGGCUCAACUCCGGAAUUGCCUUUAAGACUGCAUCGCUAGAAUUGUGGAGAGGUAAGUGGAAUUCCGAGUGUAGAGGUGAAAUUCGUAGAUAUUCGGAAGAACACCAGUGGCGAAGGCGACUUACUGGACACAUAUUGACGCUGAGGAGCGAAAG
rnacentral:rRNA from 1 species